rnacentral:rRNA from 1 species
GAUGAACGCUGGCGGCGUGCCUAAUACAUGCAAGUCGAGCGAACAGAUCCGGAGCUUGCUCCUCUGACGUUAGCGGCGGACGGGUGAGUAACACGUGUAUCCCCUCCCUAUAAGACUGGGAUCACUUCGGGAAACCGGCGCUUAUACCGGAUAAUAUAUUGAACCGCGUGGGUCAAUAGUGAGAGUCGGUUUUUCUGUCACUUAUCGAUGCUUCCCCGCCGCAUGAGCUAGUUGGUAAGGUAACGGCUUAUCACGGCGACCAUGCGUAGCCGACCUGAGAGGGUGAUCGGCCACACUGGAACGGAGACACGGUCCAGACUCCUGCGGGAGGGAGCAGUAGGGAAUCGUCCGCAAUGGGCGAAAGCCUGACGGAGCAACGCCGCGUGAGUGAUGAAGGUCUCCGGAUCGGGAAACUCUGUUAUGAGGUAAGAACAAAUGUGUAAGUAACCAUGCACGUCUUGACGGUAACUAAUAAGAAAGCCACGGCUAACUACGUG